rnacentral:rRNA from 1 species
UCCGUAGGGUGCGAGCGUUAAUCGGAAUUACUGGGCGUAAAGCGUGCGCAGGCGGUUUUGUAAGCCAGAUGUGAAAUCCCCGGGCUUAACCUGGGAAUGGCAUUUGGGACUGCAAGGCUGGAGUGUGGCAGAGGAGACUGGAAUUCCCGGUGUAGCAGUGAAAUGCGUAGAUAUCGGGAGGAAUACCGAUGGCGAAGGCAGGUCUCUGGGCUGACACUGACGCUCAUGCACGAAAGCGUGGGGAGCAAACAGG